rnacentral:miRNA from 1 species
CAUUGUAGGUAUAUCUAUCUGUAUGUGUGUGUGUGUGUGUGUGUGUGUACAUACAUACAUACAUAUACAUAUACAUAUACAUGGAUAAUAUAUAUAUA